GACGAACGCUGGCGGCAUGCCUAAUACAUGCAAGUCGAGCGAACAGAUGAAGUGCUUGCACUUCUGACGUUAGCGGCGAACGGGUGAGUAACACGUAAGGAAUCUACCUAUAAGCGGGGGAUAACAUUCGGAAACGGGUGCUAAUACCGCAUAAUAUCUUCUUCCGCAUGGAAGAAGAUUGAAAGACGGCUCUGCUGUCACUUAUAGAUGACCUUGCGGUGCAUUAGUUAGUUGGGGGGGUAAUGGCCUACCAAGACGAUGAUGCAUAGCCGACCUGAGAGGGUGAUCCGCCACCUUGGGACUGAGACACGGCCCAAACUCCUACGGGAGGCAGCAGUAGGGAAUCUUCCGCAAUGGGCGAAAGCCUGACGGAGCAAUGCCGCGUGAGUGAAGAAGGCCUUCGGGUCGUAAAACUCUGUUAUAAGAGAAGAACAAAUUGUAGAGUAACUGCUACAGUCUUGACGGUAUCUUAUCAGAAAGCCACGGCUAACUACGUGCCAGCCCCCGCGGUAA
rnacentral:rRNA from 1 species